GAGUGGCAGACGGGUGAGUAACGCGUGGGAACCUUCCCUAUGGUUCGGAAUAGCUCAGGGAAACUUGAGGUAAUACCGGAUAAGCCGGGGGAAAGAUUUAUCGCCAUUGGAUGGGCCCGCGUAGGAUUAGCUAGUUGGUGAGGUAACGGCUCACCAAGGCGACGAUCCUUAGCUGGUCUGAGAGGAUGAUCAGCCACACUGGGACUGAGACACGGCCCAGACUCCUACGGGAGGCAGCAGUGGGGAAUAUUGGACAAUGGGCGCAAGCCUGAUCCAGCCAUGCCGCGUGAGUGACGAAGGCCUUAGGGUUGUAAAGCUCUUUUGGCGGGGAAGAUAAUGACGGUACCCGCAGAAUAAGCUCCGGCUAACUUCGUGCCAGCAGCCGCGGUAAUACGAAGGGAGCUAGCGUUGUUCGGAAUCACUGGGCGUAAAGCGCACGUAGGCGGAUGUGUCAGUCAGGGGUGAAAUCCCGGAGCUCAACUUCGGAACUGCCUUUGAUACAGCACGUCUUGAGUCCGAUAGAGGUGGGUGGAAUUCCUAGUGUAGAGGUGAAAUUCGUAGAUAUUAGGAAGAACACCGGUGGCGAAGGCGGCCCACUGGAUCGGUAC
rnacentral:rRNA from 1 species